AAUAAAAUAUAUGAAUUCAGGAUAAUGAUGACAUCAGAGUUGCUAGCGUUCCAAGGUUUAUUCAGAUGCAGAGUGUGAAGAUUCAAUAAAACAUUUCAAUUCAAUUCAAUAUGUGGAGAUAUGAAAAUAAUCGUACAGUAUUACAAUAGACUGACGUGAAUAUAUUAUUUUCAUCUUCAUAAUUAUUAAGCUUCGCAGAACAUCAACAUGUUUUGGACAUUACAUUUAUAAGAUAUUUUAAUUCCAUCAUAUGUAUACAUAUAUAUGAACACAUCAAAUAAUGAUAAGGUACAGUAUUACAGAUAACUGAUACGAACAUAUUAUACUCAUAUAUAUAACGCUAUACUUAUCAAAACAUCAGCGUAAGUUGGGCAUUAUAUUUUUAUGUACAGGUAGAACCUUACAGGAACAUCUUUUUAAGUUCAGAGAACGGCACACAACGAUACAAAUACACACGCUAAAACAUUAGAUUCCUAUUGGUAACAUCAGCUUAAAAUAAUGAAACAUUAACUAGUACACGUAUCGUAGAUGUUUUACGGUAGUGCAAUUUACGCACUACCGUACUCCCUUUAAUACAAGCGCUGCUCUUAUUAGCCUGAAUAUACAAAAUAGUUUUACAUAGGUGUAAGUAUACACCUGUUUCCCGGGUUCAACCCUUCCUAAACAUUAUUACAAUUUCGCAAUACAUUGAACAAUAACUACACAAAUGAACGUACGCCUGUAGCUGAACAUCUACAAUAAUAUAUAUGAUUUGAAGUUACCGAAAUCUAAAACAGUAUUCCCAAAACACUUUCAACAUAUAAUGAAACGAACAUAUAAACAACGCAUGGAAAUGUCUUACCUUAAAAUAAAAUAUAUGAAUUCAGGAUAAUGAUGACAUCAGAGUUGCUGGCGUUCCAAGGUUUAUUCAGAUGCAGAGUGACUUCACAGACGACGACGAA